rnacentral:rRNA from 1 species
GACGAACGCUGGCGGCGUGCCUAACACAUGCAAGUCGAGCGAAUGAAGUUCCUUCGGGAACGGAUUUAGCGGCGGACGGGUGAGUAACACGUGGGCAACCUGCCUCAUAGAGGGGAAUAGCCUUCCGAAAGGGAGAUUAAUACCGCAUAAGAUUGUAGUACCGCAUGGUACAGCAAUUAAAGGGGCAAUCCGCUAUGAGAUGGGCCCGCGGCGCAUUAGCUAGUUGGUGAGGUAACGGCUCACCAAGGCGACGAUGCGUAGCCGACCUGAGAGGGUGAUCGGCCACAUUGGGACUGAGACACGGCCCAGACUCCUACGGGAGGCAGCAGUGGGGAAUAUUGCACAAUGGGGGAAGCCCUGAUGCAGCAACGCCGCGUGAGUGAUGACGGCCUUCGGGUUGUAAAGCUCUGUCUUCAGGGACGAUAAUGACGGUACCUGAGGAGGAAGCCACGGCUAACUACGUGCCAGCAGCCGCAGUAAUAC